rnacentral:rRNA from 1 species
UACGUAGGGGGGCAAGCGUUGUCCGGAAUUAUUGGGCGUAAAGGGCUCGUAGGCGGUCUGUUGCGUCGGGAGUGAAAACUCAGGGCUUAACCCUGAGCCUGCUUCCGAUACGGGCAGACUAGAGGUAUGCAGGGGAGAACGGAAUUCCUGGUGUAGCGGUGAAAUGCGUAGAUAUCUGGAGGAACACCGGUGGCGAAGGCGGCGAUCCUGGACCGGCAUUGACGCUGAGGCGCGAAAGCCAGGGGAGCAAACGGGG